AUUGAACGCUGGCGUCAGGCCUAACACAUGCAAGUCGAACGAGUGGCGGACGGGUGAGUAAUGUCUAGGAAACUGCCUGAUGGAGGGGGAUAACUACUGGAAACGGUAGCUAAUACCGCAUACCAUCAGAUGUGCCCAGAUGGGAUUAGCUUGUUGGUGGGGUAAAGGCUCACCAAGGCGACGAUCCCUAGCUGGUCUGAUAGGAUGACCAGCCAAACUGGGACUGAGACAAGGGCCAGACUCCUACGUGAGGCAGGAGUGGGGAAUAUUGCACAAUGGGCGAAAGCCUGAUGCAGCCAUUCCGCGUGUACGAAGAAGGCCUUCGGGGUGUAAAGUUCUUUCAGCGGGGAGGCGUUACCCGCAGAAGAAGCACCGGCUAACUCCGUGCCAGCAGCCGCGGUAAUUC
rnacentral:rRNA from 1 species